GAGUUUGAUCCUGGCUCAGAGCGAACGUUGGCGGCGCGCUUAACACAUGCAAGUCGCACGAGAAAAGGGGCAACCCUGAGUAGAGUGGCGCACGGGUGCGUAACACGUAGGCAAUCUGCCCUCAGGCGGGGGAUAACCAUCCGAAAGGAUGGCGUAAUACCGCGUAUGACCACAGUCGCUUCGGCGACAGAGGUAAAAGCUGGCCUCUACUUGUAAGCUAGCACCUGAGGAGGAGCCUGCGGCCCAUCAGCUAGUUGGUGAGGUAACGGCUCACCAAGGCGAAGACGGGUAGCUGGCCUGAGAGGAUGAUCAGCCACACUGGCACUGAAACACGGGCCAGACUCCUACGGGAGGCAGCAGUGGGGAAUAUUGGACAAUGGGCGAAAGCCUGAUCCAGCGACGCCGCCGUGGGUGAUGAAGGCCCUCGGGUCGUAAAGCCCUGUGGGAGGAAGAAAACGUUGCAGGCGAAUAGGCUGCGACCUUGACGGUACCUUCUCAGAAAGCACCGGC
rnacentral:rRNA from 1 species